rnacentral:lncRNA from 1 species
UGAAUAAGCUGCUGUGCUCACAGAAAAAUACACUAUGAUAAUCUCAGUUGCAUCAAUAAAUAUUCUAUGUACCAGGCUCUAUUCUAGAUACUGAGGAUACAGCCCUGAAAAGACCAACAUGAUUUAAACCCACGUGGAGCUUCUUGGGACCUACAUUAACCACAUAGUGGGGCAGAAGAGACGCUGCACACGUCUAGAGCUUAUACCUUGAAAAACUUUGCAGCUUCCAUUUUCACUCUUUUGGAACUCUGCCCCAAGACCACCACACCAGAAGAAACUCUGAAAGAAAACCCACAGAAUGAGAGAGACUUAGCCACCUGGCUGUCCCGGCUGAGCCUUCAGCCACGUGCAGCUUCAUGAGCAAACCCAGCCUGGAUUCCAUCCCCACUGAAAACUCCUUCCAAUGCCCAGCACUACUGAAUCUCUGCUUCCUAAAGGUCACAUGUCCAUCUUUCAGCCAAUCACCACAGCCAGAGCUGAGCUAUGUUGGUGUCCGGAUUGACCUGAGUCGCCUGCUUAUUCCUGGAGCCCAUGGGUGGCGGUCUGCCUCAC